AUACGAAGGGUGCAAGCGUUGUUCGGAUUUAUUGGGCGUAAAGCGUACGUAGGCGGACGGUUAAGUCAGGUGUGAAAUCUCGGGGCUCAACCCCGAAAUUGCGCCUGAAACUGGCCAUCUAGAAUACUGAAGAGGGAGGGGGAAUUUCGCAUGUAGGGGUAAAAUCCGUAGAUAUGCGAAGGAACACCAGCGGCGAAGGCGCCUUCCUGGUCGGUUAUUGACGCUGAUGUACGAAAGCGUGGGGAGCAAACAGGAUUAGAUACCCUGGUAGUCCACGCCGUAAACGAUGAGCACUAGAUAUGGGAGGGUCGACCCUUUCCGUGUCGCAGCUAACGCAUUAAGUGCUCCGCCUGGGGAGUACGGUCGCAAGAUUAAA
rnacentral:rRNA from 1 species